AACCAUGGGGUAGGAAACCCCUAGCAUCGUUCGGGUCUCCUAUAAAUAAUUUCUCAGGUUGAUGUUGGGGCCAGUAAAUUGAUAGAGAGGCGGGGGCUUCUCCCUCCAUUUUUAUUUGACCCCCCUGCUCAGCGUUUUCUUUUAGCAAUGGCAACCAACAACGCUUCUCAUAUUCUCGAAGAAGAAGAAGAAGAUACUGAUGAAGAAGAAGAAGAAACUGAUGAAGAAGAAGAAACGAAUGAUGAAGGAGAAGAAACGGAAGAAGAAGAAGAAGAAGAUGAUGAUGGGAACGACGUUCCUCUUAGAAGAAGUGCAAGGCAUCCACAGUCUCCUCUCCCGAAUUCUCCUGUUCCCAUUGUCAUCGAAGAAGAAGAUGGAGAAGAAGAAGCAGCGUCUCCUCUGCUGGUUUCUCCGGACACAGCCCGGCCCACUUCAGUAGAAGGAAAAGGGAAUUGUACCACGGGUUCCUCACAGAACGAGCCUGACUCCUUCUCUUGCCCAAUCUGCAUGGAGCCGUGGUCUGCAGUUGGCGUCCAUCGAACAUGUUGUCUUCCUUGUGGACAUGUAUACGGGAGAUCUUGCAUAGAGAGAUGGAUUAGGCAAGGCAGUAAAAAUUUUGGGAAGUGUCCACAAUGCAAUAAGAAGUCUAAGUUGUCAGAGAUCAGAAAUCUUUAUGUUCCGCAUGUAGUCAUUGUUGAUGAAGAUCUACAGAAGGAAGUUGUCUCUCUUCGGUCUGAAAAUGAGUUUCUUAAGAUGCGGAAUGGUUCUUUGCUUGAGGAAGUACGUGGUCUAAAGAAGCGUCAAAUGGAGAGAGAAGUUUAUGAUAAGCAGAAGGCAGCACGUCGUGAACAUGUUCCAUUAGGAGGGUUGAAGACGAGGUUGUUUGAAUAUGCUGACGAUGAACAUAACACUGGCUCACAAAAUUAUAGCCGAAGACGGCAAGGAGGGUCUUGUUGCAGCAUUGCUUUAAAGGAUGAGUUUGGGGUUGAUGGUGCUCGGGUUUUUGAUAUUGAUGCUUCUAGUGAAAUUCUAGUUGUCUCUCGUAGACCGUCUGGAAUGGCUGGAGUGCAUGUGCUGACCAAAAUUAGCUUGUUACCUCCUUAUGAAAAUGAUAACAUACAACUUCCACAUGACACCAAAGCCGUUAGAGACGUACGCAUUUCUCAUCCUCCUGGAAGACUUGCACUUCUGGCUUCAAUGGGAAAGAAACUGUCAAUUGUCAGCAUGGAAAGCAACAAUGUUGUCCUCACCUACGACUUACCGGUACCUGCCUGGUCUUGUUCAUGGGAUUUCAACAGUCCGUAUCAUGUUUAUGCUGGAUUGCAGAAUGGCAUGCUAAUGGUGUUUGAUUUGCGUCAAACUGCCGGACCCAUGGAAUCAACUAGCGGUUUGACCACCCAUCCAAUUCAUACUAUCCACUCUAUUUCACAUGAUAGGUUGCAUAGUCCAUCCUCUGUUGUUAGAACACUUUUAACUGCUUCUUCCAUUGGUCCAUGCGAAUGGGAUAUUGGGGGUGUUUAUGCAAGGCCAUUGCUAAUUCCUGAAAUGGAGAAUCAAGGUGUUUGUAUAUCACUUGCUUAUUGCAACUCAAGCAGUGACAUCAUUGCUUCCUUCCGGCCCAAAGUCCAGAUUCCUAAUGAUAAUGUGGCUUCUCAGGCUUCACUUUCUGCUUCACCAACUGUUUCUAUACAGCCUUCACUUCCAGCUUCACCAACUGUUUCUAGACCAGCAAUAAUGGGUUCACAUGUUCUUGUUAAGAGGGUGGGUGGAAACUCUUAUCAGAGUAUUGGAUCUGCGCCAUGCAAUGUAAGUGAAGUUCGAAUGCCAAAGUCAGCAAUUAUAAGCAUAGAGGAUAACAACCCGCUCUUUGCAUUUGGAGAUGAAAUAACACAUGGACUGUGUGUGCGAGACUUGCCUUCUUUCGGAGUUGUUGAGCAUCUUAAACGACACCCACAUCCCAUCCUCGAUGUAAAGUAUGCACGUUCCACCAGCCUAGGUUUACUCAGUUGCAUUAGUGAGAACAGGCUGCAAAUUUUCACUUGCUCAGGACCUUGAUGCAGUCCCUUGCUCUGGAAGCUCUUGUUAUGGAGGGAUGUGCCAGUGUUGAGUUAUCAUCGUGCCUUGUGUUUGUGAAGAAAACCCCCUUCAGAGGCUAUCUUUCUUGGGUCCAAAACAACAGUCGCCUCUCCCUUCACGGACCCAUGGGUCAUAUGCUGCUAGAAAUGGAACUGAGUGGAGGGCAGAUUUGUGGUGCUUGAUCCACAAGGGGCAGUUUGUUUAAUUAUAAGCAUGGGAUCAAGACCCUGUUUCACCAGUGACCUUUCUGAGUCAACCAUCUGAAACAUGAAAAGUUCAUCUGAGUUCAAGGGACUCCCAACGGUUUUGGUCGAGUCAGAAUGGGUUGCAGUGGUUUUUGUACCCAGUCAAGUCAUUCUCCAAAUCCAUGUUUUGAUCACUCGACCAGAAGAUUAAUGGUUGCUGCUGUGUUAUAUGACUGGCGGACAAGGAAUAGCUGCUGCUUGAUGGUGAUCCGCUAUCUUCACAUGGGUGUUGGGUUUCUUAUCCUGCAUCCCACUCAUCCAUCCAUGUACAAUGUGUAUGUUUAUCAACUACCAUUUCACUAGUCUAUAUGAGUGAACCCAACAGGUUUCACUAGCUUUGAACCAUAGGGUCUGUGUUUUUAUUAUUUUUAGAUUGUCACUUGCGAAAGCACCUGCCGCUCGUUGUUCUUCAAGGCAGAUAUUGCAGAGAUAUGUGGAGAAUGUAUCAUGACUACACAACAUACACGACAGUUUUCGAAAUAUCGGUAUCGCGUUACGUAUCACACCCUUGGGAUAUGGAUACGUAUCGUUUAUCGCAUGGGAUAUAUCGGCUGUAUCGUGCAAUGUAUUGCUGUUAUUGGAAA